UGGAAUUUCCUCCUCUCUUAACUCUCUCUUAGCUUCUCUUAGAAACCCAAGCCGCCACCUUCAAUCACCACCCAAAACCGACCAAAUCCAUGGCUUCCAAAGUCAUUGAUGGCUUGUAUCUACUUUAUGUGACUCCUACACGCUUGAUUACCAUGGUUUUUAGGUCAAACCUUGAAGAAGCCUGGCCCAGACCUUGUCCGAUUUGAAUAUUCCGAUCAUCUCUAGGCUUGCUCCGGUGGCUCUUGGUCUUCUAAGCCUGUUUCUGACCUCAUCCGGCUUAGAGCGGGUUUUUCCAAGUCUUUCUCAUUUUUAGGGUUCUUCUAAAACCCUGAC
rnacentral:lncRNA from 1 species